UACGUAGGCAGCAAGCGUUGUUCGGAGUUACUGGGCGUAAAGGGUGCGCAGGCGGUUGGGUGUGUCAGAUGUGAAAUCCCGAGGCUUAACCUCGGAACUGCGUCUGAAAACUACUCGACUAGAGUACUGGAGAGGGAAACGGAAUUCACGGUGUAGCAGUGAAAUGCGUAGAUAUCGUGAGGAACACCAGAGGCGAAGGCGGUUUCCUGGACAGUUACUGACGCUCAGGCACGAAAGCAUGGGGAGCAAAAGGG
rnacentral:rRNA from 1 species